UAAUUAAAAAAUUGUAUGGAGUAGCUACUGAAUAUUAAUUUUCCAUUUAAUAAAAAUAAUUUUAUUUAUGAUUGUGUUUAUAUUUCACUGUAGAUGUUAAGAAAAUAUUAUGCAACUAUUUUGAUAAGUUUAUAAAUAUUUGAUUAAGCAUGCGUAGAUUGGAAUAAACAUAAUUUUAAUUUUACUCUGUAAUAAUAUGUGAAAAUUUGCACAAAUUAUAAUUAUUAUGACUUGUUACUUUUAAUACCUGCUGUUGUAAGUAUCUGUACUUUUAAGUAUGCACUUGUAAUUAAGAUACUUUGAUAUCAUAAAAUUAAUAUUAAGAAACACAAAUGAUUUAAUAAUGAUUUUGCUAUUGCCAUGACUAUAUCAUGAAAAAGAGUCACAUAUCAAAUAAAUGCACAGUUCUCAAAAAAACUUGAUUACAAAUAUGAUGUCUAUUGGUUUUGUAUACAUGAUUCUAAGCAUAUAACAUUAGUAAACUUUAAUUUCUUCUAUCAAGUAUAAGAAUAUUGUGAGAUCAAUAAUAGAAUGAAUUGUUAUAUUGAAAUGACAGUAUUGUAGUUAAAUCUCUUGUAUGUUAAUUAUUCUUAUAGUAAUACUUUAACUUAAAAAAAUUAAAUCUAUUGAUAAUUGUUAAAUUUUGAACUUAAAGUAAGGUAAUGUAUUAGAGUUAUACAUGUAGUUAUUAGAUUAAUUAUCCAAUUAAAUUCAAUUAGAAGGAGUUGUAAGAAAAAAAUUUGCUUAAAAUUUAAGCAUUUUAAUUAUAAGGUUAAGAAUAUUGCGUUCUUUGAAAAAAGAAAUUUUACUCAAAAGAAAUAAAUAUUAUAGAUAAUACAAAUAAAUUAUUUGUAUUUUUAUAGCUAAAAGAUUUGAAUGUGGUAGGUUAGACUAAUUAAAGCAAUUAGUUUAAAUUUAAAAGCUGUUAAUUAUUAAAAUAAAUACAUAAAUUCAUUAAAACUUCAGAAAUUUUAGUAUUACCAAUUGGAAUCAAACUC